UACUGCUGCUAAACACAACCAAAACCAUGAAAAACUCCAUCAACCUUACAUAGCUGGGUACACAAGUGAUGCUGCCAACAAAGCCAAUCAAUACAUAGCAGGGUAUAGGACCAAAACUCAUGAUUCCAAUACACCUUACAUAGCUGGGUACACAACAACCAGUGCUUCCCACAAAGCCAAUCAACCUAAUUACCUUGCAGGGUAUAGGACCAAAACCGAUGAUUCCAAUACACCCUACAUAGCUGGGUAUACAACAACUAAUGCCCAUGUGGCAAAUAAUCAACCUAAUUACAUUGCAGGGUAUAGGACUAGCACCACCCAAGAAUCCAAUACACCUUCUUACAUUGCAGGGUAUAGGACUAGCACCACCCAAGAAUCCAAUACACCUUCUUACAUUGCAGGGUAUAGGACUAGCACCACCCAAGAAUCCAAUACACCUUACAUUGCAGGGUAUAGGACUAGCACCACCCAAGAAUCCAAUACACCUUACAUUGCAGGGUAUAGGACUAGCACCACCCAAGAAUCCAAUACACCUUACAUUGCAGGGUAUAGGACUAGAACCACCCAUGAUCCUAAUGCAC
rnacentral:lncRNA from 1 species